UGCUCACUUCAGCAGCAAUAUGCUAAAAUUGGAACCAUACAGAGAAGAUUAGCAUGGUCCCUGUGCAAGGAUGAUACACAAAUUCAUGAAGCAUUCCAUAUUUUU
rnacentral:snRNA from 1 species